CUCUUUGAUUUAUGUUCCUAUGGUUUGAAGCCCAUUAAACAGCCACACGCUACCUCUUCUGUCUUUCUAUGUCUUCUCAUCUGGUAACUUUUGGCAAUGCGUUCACCAAUUCAACACAAUCUAAUGUAAUGUAUAACUUGGAUAGAGGAAAGGAAAGGAAAAUGGAAACUAGAGUCAGUAAAUGAGGAAUGAAAUAGAAUUUUAGCCACUAUUCUCAUUGUACUUGUAUGGCUAAACAAGUACAUGUCUCUUAUGUUUUCACUGUUACCAACCAAGUAUCAUUUCAUCUGAAUCAAAAACAAGAAGAGACCUAUGCACAACAUUUUUGAAGACUAGCAUAAAGUAAAGAAUUAAAUUAGACCAAAAGGGAAGUGUACAUAACACUAAUAAUCGUACAUGUACACAUGUAUUAUGCAUAUAAUACUUGUA